rnacentral:rRNA from 1 species
GACGAACGCUGGCGGCGUGCCUAACACAUGCAAGUCGAACGAAAAGGCCCCUUUGGGGGUCCUCGGGUGGCGAACGGGGGCGUAACACGUGAGUAACCUGCCCUUGACUUCGGGAUAACUUCAGGAAACUGGGGCUAAUACCGGAGAGGAAUCCUUGCUGCAUGGUGGGGGUUGGAAAGCUUCGGCGGUUUUUGGUGUACUUGCGGCUUAUCAGCUUGCUGGUGUGGUAGUGGCUUACCGAGGCUAUGACGGGUAGCCGGCCUGAGAGGGCGAGCGGCCACAUUGGGACUGAGAUACGGCCCCGACUCCUACGCGUGGCAGAAGUGGGGAAUAUUGCACAAUCGGCGGAAGCCUGAUGCAGCAGCGCCGCGGGCGGGAUGACGGCGUUCGGCUUGUAAACCGCUUUCAGCAGGGGCGAAGCUUGUGGUGACGGUACCUGCAGAAGAAGCACCGGCUAACUACGUG